rnacentral:rRNA from 1 species
GACGAACGCUGGCGGCAUGCCUAACACAUGCAAGUCGAACGAGAUCUUCGGGUCUAGUGGCGCACGGGUGCGUAACGCGUGGGAAUCUGCCCUUUGGUUCGGAAUAACAGUUGGAAACGACUGCUAAUACCGGAUGAUGACGAAAGUCCAAAGAUUUAUCGCCAGAGGAUGAGCCCGCGUAGGAUUAGCUAGUUGGUGUGGUAAAGGCGCACCAAGGCGACGAUCCUUAGCUGGUCUGAGAGGAUGAUCAGCCACACUGGGACUGAGACACGGCCCAGACUCCUACGGGAGGCAGCAGUGGGGAAUAUUGGACAAUGGGCGGAAGCCUGAUCCAGCAAUGCCGCGUGAGUGAUGAAGGCCUUAGGGUUGUAAAGCUCUUUUACCCGGGAUGAUAAUGACAGCACCGGGAGAAUAAGCUCCGGCUAACUCCGUGCCAGCCGCCGCCGUAA